GGGGCGCGUGCGAUGUAUGGGAAAGUUACCUAAAUCUAAAAAAUCAAAGGUUGAUUUGUCUGAAAAUAAAGAGCUGCGUGAUAGAGUUAAGACUAUGGAGGGCUUGUUAGCAAAUGUCAUGACUUUGAUUCAAAGUCGAUUUUCUGGAGAAGAUGUGAAUGAGAUAAUGCAAGCUGCUAGACAGGUUAUUGAUGCUUCUAGUGUUCCUAACCCUUUGAAUUCCCCUAGUCCAAGCAAUAAUGAAGAUUAAUGAAAAUGGUGAAGAUGAGGAGGCUAAUAUGGAGACUUGAAGAUGGAAAUUUGAAAUUGAAAACUAGGCUAGACAUUGUUUUGGUUCUUUUCUCUAUUGACAUAGUUAUAUAUAAGGCUUUGUAUCCCGAAUAUGGAUUUGUCUUGUUUUGGUUAAUGCUCUAAAAUACAAUAGGAUUGACAUGAUUUAACUUUUGUUAAUUUCUAUGUUUGAAAGAAUUGGUUUUAAUCUUCAAUAUAUAUGGUAUGGAAUCUGUUUUUGAUUUCAAAAUAUAUCCA